GAUGAACGCCGGCGACGUGCCUAAUACAUGCAAGUCGAGCGAACAGACGAGGAGCUUGCUCCUCUGACGUUAGCGGCGGACGGGUGAGUAACACGAGGAUAACCUACCUAUAAGACUGGGAUAACUUCGGGAAACCGGAGCUAAUACCGGAUAAUAUAUUGAACCGCAUGGUUCAAUAGUGAAAGACGGUUUUGCUGUCACUUAUAGAUGGAUCCGCGCCGCAUUAGCUAGUUGGUAAGGUAACGGCUUACCAAGGCAACGAUGCGUAGCCGACCUGAGAGGGUGAUCGGCCACACUGGAACUGAGACACGGUCCAGACUCCUACGGGAGGCAGCAGUAGGGAAUCUUCCGCAAUGGGCGAAAGCCUGACGGAGCAACGCCGCGUGAGUGAUGAAGGUCUUCGGAUCGUAAAACUCUGUUAUUAGGGAAGAACAAAUGUGUAAGUAACUAUGCACGUCUUGACGGUACCUAAUCAGAAAGCCACGGCUAACUACGUG
rnacentral:rRNA from 1 species